rnacentral:lncRNA from 1 species
CAGAGAAGCAGAACUAGUAUGAGAUAUGUACAUGCACAUGUAUGUGUAUAUAAAAUCACCCUACUACAUGUUUAUGUAUCCCUGUACACAUUAUACACACUUGUGUGUGUGCAUGUCAAUAAGGGAUUUAUUACAUGGGAUUGAUUUGUUCAGUAAAGGGGGUCUGGCUGCAUAAGUCUGAAGCCUUAGGGCAAGCUGGGACUCCAGGCAUGGGAUGAAGCUCUUGUCCACAGGUAGAAUUUAGUGUCUUUCUCUUGGGAAAGCCUCAGCCCUUAUUUUAAAGCCCUCCCCCUCCCCUGCAGCUGAUGAAGUCAGGCCCACCAGAAUACUCUCCCUUAGAAUUAACAGUUGGGGACUUUUCAUCACAUCUGCAAAAUUCCCUCACAGCAGGACCUGGUCAGCGUGUGAAUAACUGAGGAUGGCCCCUUGCUAUGCCGGCACAUCAGGAGCCACUGCAGGUGGAGAAGAAGAGUGGAAUUCUGAGAGGCCAUCCAUUCCUUCCUGUGGGCCAUGAGAUGCUGCCAGAAAGAGUGUGUGCUCCUGCUCCAGGCUCGCCUGAGCACCUCCUGAUUUGUGCUGCCUCUUCAGAUCAGGGCCGACGCUCCCAGGCUCCAUGUGUGUGCUUAUCCAGCGCCCUCAGUUGAGCUUUUGGCUUAAUGGGGUUCCUUUGGCUACAGCAAGAGCUAAGCCACUUGACUUGGGCUUGGUGCCCGCACAUUCUUGCUCUAUGCAGACUCUGAAUAGGUCACUCAACUUUUAUUACACUUGGAGGAAAAUAACUACAAAUCUGAAAAAAAAAAAAAAAAAAACCUUGAAAAACUGAAAGCUGAUGUGUUGAUGGGCGGGUACACUUUUAUUGCUCGUCUCCCUCCUGGAGUGUAAUAACCACAAAGCAUCUUUGAGGGAAGGGGCACCAGGAGCAGCACGGUAUUUUAGAAGUUUCACCUGUGUUUGAGUCAUAGGCUGGCACAUUUAUUUCCUCCGAUUGCCUCCUCUCCUGAUUCUUUAAUUCCUUAGUUUAGGUUUUUGAAAGCCCUGGAUGGGUAGGAGGCAAUAGUCUCUGGCCUUGAGGAGAUUUACAAUCCAGUGGUGAAAUACACACACACAAAUAGAAUGUCUAAGAUAGGUGAAUACACAUAUGUGUGGACAGCCAAUCAACAAUAAAGAGGUGCCUUGAUUUAUAGCUGGUUUUGUA